AUGUGUAAAGUUUGCAGAUCAGGGAGGGGAUCAAAAUCCCUAGAUCGCCUCCAUUCCCCAUCGGGCCUGGCACAUCUCAUCUCUCUCCCUCUUCCCUUCUUCUCCACCACCGGCCGCCGCCACGGCCAGGCCGGCGUGGUGAUGCGCCAACCAGCACCGCCUCCAUCCAUCACCCAGCGCCACCACUACUCCUCCUACCUCCAGUGCCUACAUCCACCACACCAGCCGCUCCCUCACGCGCCGCAUCAGACACUCCGGCGCGAGUGUCUGGUCACCCGCGUGAGUGCGCCACCCAACUCCUUCGCCUCGGAUCCAUCUCGCAGACCACCAGUGUGCCACCACCAUCGCCAACUCCCUCUUCCUUCUUCUGCUCUCUGCCUGCUGCUGCUUCUUCCCACGCCCCUGCUGCUGCUUGCUCUCUCAAUCUCUGCUACUACUUCUCCUUCCCUCCGCUGCUUGCUGCUUCUCCCUCUUCUUCAACCUACUGCUGCUUGCCCUCAACCCUCUCUGCUGCUUCUCUCACCCGGAUGCCACUGCUGCUACCUGUUCCUAAGCUCGCCUGCUGCUGCUGCUGUUCUUCUUCUUAUCUCCAAGUCACUGCUGAUCCUUCCCACGCCCAAGUUGCUGCUCCUCUCUCUUGCAACACCUAUUGCUGUUCUUCUUCUUCUCCUAACCUGCUGUUCUUCUUCUUCUCCUAACCUUGCUGCUGUACUUUUCUGA
rnacentral:rRNA from 1 species